rnacentral:siRNA from 1 species
CCGGUGGCGUGCCGCAUUACUCAC